AAGCGGAGGAAAAGAAACCAACAGGGAUUGCCCUAGUAACGGCGAGCGAAGCGGCAACAGCUCAAAUUUGAAAUCUGGCUACUCUGUAGUCCGAGUUGUAAUUUGUAGAGGAUGCUUUUGGUGAGGUGCCUUCCGAGUUCCCUGGAACGGGACGCCAGAGAGGGUGAGAGCCCCGUACGGUUGGAUACCAAACCUUUGUAUAGCUCCUUCAACGAGUCGAGUAGUUUGGGAAUGCUGCUCUAAAUGGGAGGUAUAUCUCUUCUAAAGCUAAAUAUAGGCUAGAGACCGAUAGCGCACAAGUAGAGUGAUCGAAAGAUGAAAAGCACUUUGAAAAGAGAGUUAAACAGCACGUGAAAUUGUUGAAAGGGAAGCGCCUAUGACCAGACUUGUUUCUUUCAGUUUUGUUAGUUCUCGGACUGAUUUACUCUGUUAGUACAGGCCAGCAUCAGUUUGUUGUCGGGGAGAAAGGCUUAGGGAAUGUGGCUCCUUCGGGAGUGUUAUAGCCCUUUGCAUAAUACCCUUCGGCAGACUGAGGACCGCGCUUCGGCAAGGAUGCUGGCGUAAUGGUCAUCAGCGACCCGUCUUGAAACACGGACCAAGGAGUCAACCUUAUGUGCGAGUGUUUGGGUGUAAAACCCCAGCGCGUAAUGAACGUGAACGUAGGUGAGAGCUUCGGCGCAUCAUCGACCGAUUCUGAUGUUCUCGGAUGGAUUUGAGUAAGAGCACACAGGGUUGGACCCGAAAGAAGGUGAACUAUGCUUGUAUAGGGUGAAGCCAGAGGAAACUCUGGUGGAGGCUCGCAGCGGUUCUGACGUGCAAAUCGAUCGUCAAAUAUGAGCAUGGGGGCGAAAGACUAAUCGAACCUUCUAGUAGCUGGUUC
rnacentral:rRNA from 1 species